AUACCUAUGGACCACCUACUUACCUGCCAAUUUUUACUCCAGACACGGGGGAUUCAGGAGGAAACAGAACAAAGGUCCUGUCCUCAGGAAGCUUAUAUCACUCUGGUGGGGCAGACCAACAACAAAGAAAUACACCAUGUCAAAAUAUGUCAGGUGGUGGGGGCCUGGCAUUAUCCCAGCCACACACACCAGAGGAGGUUGAAGACAGAAGAGGUGAAGAGAAUCAUGGCCACAGGUGUCCUACUGUGUGAACUGGAGACUUAGUGAUCAUCAGGUGGCUCUUGGAGUAGCAAAAAAGGCUGUCCUCCACCUAGCAGCCAGUGCAAGCUUUUAAAAAUGCGAAU